UAUGUCUUCAUCUUCCUGAUGGCUUGCCGAAGGUUGACACCAGUUAGACCCUGGCACUCCUGGGAGUGGCUGCGGCCGAGAGAAAUGGAACUCUGCUUGAGUGAAAGGACUUUUGUUUUUUGCAAAUCCGUCUAAACCCAUUCACACUCCCUGGAGGCCUUCAUGGGAAAUGGAAUGUCUCAAAGACAGGCAGCAGGAGAGACGCUGGUAAUCUUCAGACUGGACACUCAGGUCUGGAGCUGAGGCGGUCCAGGGCUGUUGUAGUUUCUAUUCCCAAGAUCACCUCAUGUGCCAGCUGAACUGCUCGAGCCAUCACAACCACAUUCCAGUUCGUCUACAGGAGGAAAAGAAGAAUCAGGGGCAAAG